rnacentral:lncRNA from 1 species
GGUUCAAGGAAGAAAAUAAAGGCAUGGAAGAUGAGCUAGAUGCUUACAAGAAGAGUUCCAAUCAGUAUCUAGACAGGGUAUCUUUCUUAGAGCGUGCUGAUUAUCGAGAAUUUGAGCGGGAGAGAGAUGCUCGUCUUGCGAUGCAAGCAAAGAGAAAACCAGAUAGUAUGAAAGAAGACUACUGAGAGCAUAUCGUCCAGGAGAUACUGGCAGUUGGGAUAAUGCAAGCAAAAAGAAAAUGGAAAAGAGGCUGUGGCAUUCUUGUCGAAAGAAAUUUGUAUCUGUGACCUAAAUUUUGUCUAUUUAGAUUCUAUUUACAAGAUAAAUUUUGUUUUUGUUUUUGUUUUAAUGCAGCUUUUCAUUCUAUCCUAUGCGCCGAGGGUCGAAU